GAAAUGCGAUACGUAAUGUGAAUUGCAGAAUUCAGUGAAUCAUCGAAUCUUUGAACGCACCUUGCGCCCCUUGGUAUUCCGAGGGGUGCACCCGUUUGAGUGUCGUGAACACCCUCAACCUUUCUUGGUUUUUAUCGACCGGGAAAGGCUUGGACUUUGGACGUUGCUGGCCUCGCCAGCUCCUCCUAAAUGAAUUAGUGGGGUCUGCCGUGCCGACCCUUGACGUGUUAAGUACGCUUCUACGUCUUGGGGGUUUCGCACCCGUUCCUGCUUCUAACCCUUUUCGAGUCCGUGACUCGACCUUUAUAAAUCUUGACCUCAAAUCGGGUGAGACUACCCGCUGAACUUAA
rnacentral:rRNA from 1 species